rnacentral:rRNA from 1 species
AUGUAACGGGGCUAAAUUAUGCACCGAAGCCGCGGCAGCGAUAUGUAAAUAUUGUUGGGUAGGGGAGCGUUCUGUAAGCCUGCGAAGGUGACCUGUGAGGGUUGCUGGAGGUAUCAGAAGUGCGAAUGCUGACAUAAGUAACGAUAAUGCGGGUGAAAAACCCGCACGCCGGAAGACCAAGGGUUCCUGUCCAACGUUAAUCGGGGCAGGGUGAGUCGACCCCUAAGGCGAGGCUGAAAAGCGUAGUCGAUGGGCAACGGGUUAAUAUUCCCGUACUGGUGGUAACUGCGAAGGGGGGACGGAGAAAGCUAAAUCAUCCGGGCGACGGUUGUCCCGGUUUAAGCGUGCAGGUGGACUGACCAGGCAAAUCCGGUCGGUUGUUAACACUGAGGCGUGACGACGAGCCACUACGGUGGUGAAGUGAUUGAUGCUCUGCUUCCGGGAAAAGCCUCUAAGCUCCAGGUUACCAUUAAUCGUACCCCAAACCGACACAGGUGGUCAGGUAGAGAAUACUCAGGCGCUUGAGAGAACUCGGGUGAAGGAACUAGGCAAAAUGG